rnacentral:lncRNA from 1 species
UCGACCCUUAACUCACCGGGGAUUUACCGGAAAAAGCUUCGAAAGUUCCAGCCAAAAUUGAAAAGUUUCGUUCUCAGUCCUCCGACGUCCAAAUCCUACCAACGACGUACCCCGAAGCUCGUGAGGACUUCCUUAAGCUCACUGUGAGCUUGAAAUUCCCUGAAACAUAAUAUUUUACGUGUGCAUGAACAGUGCCCAUUUUCGGGGUUAUGGUUUCACGAUGAUAUCGAAGGUUUUAAGUCUUAAAAUUAGUAUAUUUGAACUCAGGGACUCAAGAGGAGUUCGAUUCUUACCUUAAAACCUUCGAUCUGUGAAGAUUUGAGGGUCCUUGGUUUUGCCCGUACGGUUUCGAAAGAGAGAGAGAGAGAGUGAACUAAGAGGGAAGAGAGGGAGAGGGCACGGGGAAGAGAGGGAGGAGUGUCCCAUGUGUGGUCCAACCAAAACAUCACAAUCCCAUUUUUUCUUUAGUCCCUAACCACACAAAAUACAUACAACCUUUAAUCCAACAUAAUUUUUUUCCCAAAACUUAGGAAAAUAUACAUUAUUCCAUCACAUGUCACACACAUACCUUAGCAACAGUCAAGGGUACUUUCGUCAUUUCACGAUCGAUAAAUAAAAUCUCGGGACGGGCUGUGACAUCAGCAGUUUCCCACUCACACCAGCAUAAACAUUGAGUUUGAUAAAAUCAAAUAAAAAAAAAUAUUGAGAGAUUUGUGUUGUCUCUUGGGAACUAAUUAUGUGUGGAAUUUUUUUGUAUGCGCUAUGGAGUAAAUACAUUUUGCAUGACGUGACUUAUUCGAGUUCAUUAGAGGGUCGUGGUGAUGCCCAUGGAAAGACAAGCUCAGGUCCUUUCCAUGUUCUUUUGUGAUCUUUGUUUCACAGUUCAAACGGGGGAGGUUUUGCUUCUGUGAUGAUAUUUGGGUGGGAUUCCUAUUUUAGUGUCAUUUUCUGCCAUCUGUAUAGGAUCUCUUUGCCACAAUUAAUCACCCCAAAAAAUUUAUUUGCAUUUGAUUGUUUGCAUAAACUUAUCUUAUGAAUAGUUGAGUGCUAUUUAAUGUCAAUACUAAUUUGUCCAUGACUAUAUCUUUAAUAGGUUGGAUUACCAUAGACGCUACCAUUUCAUAACUGCCUUGAUUUAUGCAUGAUGGAACUAAUUUACUUUAGAAUAGAUCAUUUUUUUGGUAUUCUUACUAUUGUUGCAAUGUUUUUUCAACAUUACAACCUCUCUGCAAAAAUGCAUUCUAUGUGUUUUGCCUGUUGGUGUGAAAAUUAACUUGACACACAAAUUAAACCCUAUUGAUAACAAUUGUAGUAAUGAUGCAAGUAGGGAUCGUUCUAGACCGGGGAUUAACUAGGGAUGCUAAUCAACACAAAUAAGACUCAAAAACACUAAACUAGACUCUAUAGACUCAAAACUAACUCAAAACACUCAAAACAGCAAAUAACAACCAAAAAGACUCAAUUCUAGACCUAACAAGUGAUUUGGACGAAAAUAGAACUUCAAAAACUCAAAAGACUUAAAAGAAACAAGUUUUGACCUAAAAACAAGACUUAAAAGUAAGGGGGUUGGUUUUGACGAAAUUGGACUUUAAAACAUAAACUUUGAAAACAAACUUAAAGACUCACGAAAUUGAUGAAAUAGAAUGGUGAAAGGCUAGUUAGAGGGUUCCUUCUCCACACAUGAAACAUAU